UUCGAUGCAACGCGAAAAACCUUACCUACCCUUGACAUGGCAGGAACCUCGGAGAGAUCUGAGGGUGCUCGAAAGAGAACCUGCACACAGGUGCUGCAUGGCUGUCGUCAGCUCGUGUCGUGAGAUGUUGGGUUAAGUCCCGCAACGAGCGCAACCCUUGUCAUUAGUUGCUACGAAAGAGCACUCUAAUGAGACUGCCGGUGACAAACCGGAGGAAGGUGGGGAUGACGUCAAGUCCUCAUGGCCCUUAUGGGUAGGGCUUCACACGUCAUACAAUGGUACAUACAGAGGGCCGCCAACCCGCGAGGGGGAGCUAAUCCCAGAAAGUGUAUCGUAGUCCGGAUUGUAGUCUGCAACUCGACUACAUGAGGUUGGAAUCGCUAGUAAUCGCGGAUCAGCAUGUCGCGGUGAAUACGUUCCCGGGUCUUGUACACACCGCCCGUCACACCA
rnacentral:rRNA from 1 species